UAAACGUCUCCUUAUAUAUAUCUCCUGAAAGCGACUAUUGAAAUUAGUUUCAAUUGAUCUGUUAAGGAGUCAACACUUGCUACGAAAUGCUGCGAACUCUUCUUUGUGUGCUUUUCAUUGCAUUUGUGUUAUCUUGCGCAGUAGCGGCCCCAGCUGAUGAUACUGCAACUACAACAGCAGCUCCUUCAAAAGAACCGGGUGCGAUUCCUACUAUGAUGAAGGAUGCUAAAGACAUAGCUGGUAAAAUGUUUUCAAUGAAGUGGCUUUAAAUCGAUCAACACGCACAAUAGAUGAAAGAAAACUUACAUUUAUCGCAUUAGUAAUGGACUCCGAAUACGAAACAUUUGAAAUACCAGCCAGCCAAUGAAAAUAUAAAGGAAAAAACAUACCGGUAAUGAUCUAAUAUUAAAAUGUUGCAAUGAACUCAAUAGACGUCAGAAAAUAAAGACAUACUUCCAA